rnacentral:tRNA from 1 species
GGCCUCGUAGCUCAGCUGGUAGAACAUGCGCAUACAAAGCGUGGGCGGGGUCCACGUGUGGAUUCGAAUCCUACCGAGGCUA